rnacentral:rRNA from 1 species
GACGAACGCUGGCGGCGUGCUUAACACAUGCAAGUCGAACGGAAAGGCCCUGCUUUUGUGGGGUGCUCGAGUGGCGAACGGGUGAGUAACACGUGAGUAACCUGCCCUUGACUUUGGGAUAACUUCAGGAAACUGGGGCUAAUACCGGAUAGGAGCUCCUGCUGCAUGGUGGGGGUUGGAAAGUUUCGGCGGUUGGGGAUGGACUCGCGGCUUAUCAGCUUGUUGGUGGGGUAGUGGCUUACCAAGGCUUUGACGGGUAGCCGGCCUGAGAGGGUGACCGGCCACAUUGGGACUGAGAUACGGCCCAGACUCCUACGGGAGGCAAAGGGGGGGAAUAUUGCACAAUGGGCGGAAGCCUGAUGCAGCAACGCCGCGUGCGGGAUGACGGCCUUCGGGUGGUAAACCGCUUUCGCCUGUGACGAAGCGUGAGUGACGGUAAUGGGUAAAGAAGCACCGGCUAACUACGU